AUUCGGGGUGCUCGAGUGGCGAACGGGUGAGUAACACGUGGGUGAUCUGCCCUGCACUUUGGGAUAAGCCUGGGAAACUGGGUCUAAUACCGAAUAGGACUCCGGACUGCAUGGUCUGGGGUGGAAAGCUUUUGCGGUGUGGGAUGGGCCCGCGGCCUAUCAGCUUGUUGGUGGGGUGAUGGCCUACCAAGGCGACGACGGGUAGCCGGCCUGAGAGGGUGACCGGCCACACUGGGACUGAGAUACGGCCCAGACUCCUACGGGAGGCAGCAGUGGGGAAUAUUGCACAAUGGGCGCAAGCCUGAUGCAGCGACGCCGCGUGAGGGAUGACGGCCUUUCGGGUUGUAAACCUCUUUCAGCACAGACGAAGCGCGAGUGACGGUAUGUGCAGAAGAAGGACCGGCCAACUACGUGCCAGCAGCCGCGGUAAUACGUAGGGUCCGAGCGUUGUCCGGAAUUACUGGGCGUAAAGAGCUCGUAGGUGGUUUGUCGCGUUGUUCGUGAAAACUCACAGCUUAACUGUGGGCGUGCGGGCGAUACGGGCAGACUGGAGUACUGCAGGGGAGACUGGAAUUCCUGGUGUAGCGGUGGAAUGCGCAGAUAUCAGGAGGAACACCGGUGGCGAAGGCGGGUCUCUGGGCAGUAACUGACGCUGAGGAGCGAAAGCGUGGGGAGCGAACAGGAUUAGAUACCCUGGUAGUCCACGCCGUAAACGGUGGGUACUAGGUGUGGGUUUCCUUCCUUGGGAUCCGUGCCGUAGCUAACGCAUUAAGUACCCCGCCUGGGGAGUACGGCCGCAAGGCUAAAACUCAAAGGAAUUGACGGGGGCCCGCACAAGCGGCGGAGCAUGUGGAUUAAUUCGAUGCAACGCGAAGAACCUUACCUGGGUUUGACAUGCACAGGACGCCGGCAGAGAUGUCGGUUCCCUUGUGGCCUGUGUGCAGGUGGUGCAUGGCUGUCGUCAGCUCGUGUCGUGAGAUGUUGGGUUAAGUCCCGCAACGAGCGCAACCCUUGUCUCAUGUUGCCAGCACGUUAUGGUGGGGACUCGUGAGAGACUGCCGGGGUCAACUCGGAGGAAGGUGGGGAUUGACGUCAAGUCAUCAUGCCCCUUAUGUCCAGGGCUUCACACAUGCUACAAUGGCCGGUACAAAGGGCUGCGAUGCCGUGAGGUGGAGCGAAUCCUUUCAAAGCCGGUCUCAGUUCGGAUCGGGGUCUGCAACUCGACCCCGUGAAGUCGGAGUCGCUAGUAAUCGCACAUCAGCAACGCUGCGGUGAAUACGUUCCCGGGCCUUGUACACACCGCCCGUCACGUCAUGAAAGUCGGUAACACCCGAAGCCGG
rnacentral:rRNA from 1 species